rnacentral:rRNA from 1 species
AGCGAACGCUGGCGGCAGGCCUAAUACAUGCAAGUCGAACGGCAACAGGUCUUCGGAUGCUGACGAGUGGCGAACGGGUGAGUAAUACAUCGGAACGUGCCUAGUAGUGGGGGAUAACUACUCGAAAGAGUGGCUAAUACCGCAUGAGAUCUACGGAUGAAAGCAGGGGAUCGCAAGACCUUGUGCUACUAGAGCGGCCGAUGGCAGAUUAGGUAGUUGGUGGGAUAAAAGCUUACCAAGCCGACGAUCUGUAGCUGGUCUGAGAGGACGAUCAGCCACACUGGGACUGAGACACGGCCCAGACUCCUACGGGAGGCAGCAGUGGGGAAUUUUGGACAAUGGGCGAAAGCCUGAUCCAGCAAUGCCGCGCGCAGGAUGAAGGCCUUCGGGUUGUAAACUGCUUUUGUACGGAACGAAAAGCCCCGGGUUAAUACCCUGGGGUCAUGACGGUACCGUAAGAAUAAGCACCGGCUAACUACGUGCCAGCCGCCGCCGUAA